UAGGCCACCACACAGACGAUGCCCACGACCAGCAGAGCCACGCAGAUGCCCGUGAUGGUCAGGACCCUCUUCUGGUACAGCUCCUCGGCUUCUGCAGAGUCCCACUCUGACUGCUUGGAGGCAGGAAAAAGUUGCCUCCUGUUUGCUGAGGAUGAGUCACAUUCAGGAGACUGGGGCUUCCCUAGAGAAGGCUUUGGGGGUGAGCUGGGCCUAUGGCCUCUCUAACCUGCACCUAAUACCAGGGUAAGAGAGUAUGGGGUACAUUAGUCUAUCAACCAGGAUGGAAGUCUGAACUCAGCAUUGGGGACUGGGUGGUGGUUGGUGGUUCCCACUGAAACUGGGAUUGACCCUCUGAUUUUCAGGGGGCACAGAGGACAGAUUAGAAGGAGCAGCGGGUAACAGCCUUCCCAGCCUUUCCCACCAGGUCAUUGGUUAUGACUCUGGGGAAGGUCUGUCCCCAGGGCUGGAGAAGAGCAGGGUGAGAGAGGGGCAGAGAGGAGAGCCCACGGGCUGCAUCUGGGGUAACAGAGAGGUCAGGACCUCUGCCUUCCCCUUUUCCCGCCCCACCUCCCGGGCCUCAGUUUCUCCUUGUGGUAGCCUGGGGAUAAUGCCAUGUGUGCUGCCCUCACCCGGGGGAGGGGGUGGAUGAAGGAUGGCGGUGUGCCCCGGGCACUGGAGGGAGUGAAGGGCCUCUGAG